rnacentral:rRNA from 1 species
UACGUAGGUGGCAAGCGUUGUCCGGAUUUACUGGGCGUAAAGCGCGCGUAGGCGGAUUGCUAAGUCAGGGGUGAAAUCCUGGAGCUCAACUCCAGAACUGCCUUUGAUACUGGCGACCUUGAGUCCGGGAGAGGUGAGUGGAACUGCGAGUGUAGAGGUGAAAUUCGUAGAUAUUCGCAAGAACACCAGUGGCGAAGGCGGCUCACUGGCCCGGUACUGACGCUGAGGUGCGAAAGCGUGGGGAGCAAACAGG